rnacentral:lncRNA from 1 species
UAACAGUUGUGACGUUUCCAUAGGUGAGCCACACUAAAGAGCAAAUACUCCAUACAAAAAUGUCUACUAGCGAUCAGGAAAAUUGGAUUGUGAAAAUUUUGAUGGCAACUAAGAGAAAUUCAAUUAAUCACCAGCAACAAAAUUAGGAUUUUCACACUGGCCCAACCAAUUGCUUUUAGGCUGACGGAUUUCCUGCAUUAUUCGUACCCCACUCUUCGUCAGGUUCGUUACCAUUGACGAGUACAGCACCAUCUGUAGAGUCAGCAUCCACCACAACAGGCUCAUCUUGACUCUCCUCUUUCUCAUCAUCUUGUCCCUCUUCUUGCAUCUCAUCUCCAUUCUGCUCCGCAACCUUAGCGAUCAAAAUUAGUGAAAGAACAGAGUUCAGCAUCAACUUCAGAAUAUAAAAACAAAAACAAAAACCAAGNNNNNNNNNNNNNNNNNNNNNNNNNNNNNNNNNNNNNNNNNNNNNNNNNNNNNNNNNNNNNNNNNNNNNNNNNNNNNNNNNNNNNNNNNNNNNNNNNNNNAUUUUAUUUUAUAUUAUUAUUUUGUUUGGAUAAAUGUAAGAUAAAAUAUUAAAAUUGGCUUAAAAUAAAAAAUCCCGCCUAAGCCCCCUAGGCGCUAGGCCCCCCUCGGCCGCCCGCCUUCCGCCUUUUAGAACAUUGUCCAAAAUUGCCCAAAAUCCAUUUCUACCAAGUCAGACUUACUUUAAUUGCAUUAGCUGUCAAUCAAACAAUCACAACAUUACUUGAACCUUCAUCACAUGUUGGAGGUUCUCUUCAUCCACAGCGUAUGAUAGCACAAUUUUCUCACAAUAUUUUAAAAUUUUAGUAGAUACAAAAUUAUAAAGAAAGAGAGUACAAAAUGUUAAUGUCCAAUGGUUUUCAUAUGUAAACAAAUUAAUUGCAAAAUCACUAUAGAUAAAAACUUGCCCUCCAAUUGAUAUACAAAACCCCUAACUAAUACCCAUCACAAUGCUAAUUGAUAAAACUACUUUUUGUCAAGCAGAGAUUUGUAUUCAACCAGCACUGAGAUCGAGCUUUUUUUAGUUAAAAAAAGAAAUUAGAAAUAAGGUUACCUUCUAUGCCACUUUCAGCAACCUAAAGAGUAUUGAAUGGCUACUCUAAUUAUGAAAUAUUCUGAACAAUAUGAAGCACUAUCACUAUACAGCAAGAACCGAAUAAAACCCAGGCAACAAUACCAAAUCUUUAAGGAAACAAUAAAAAUUGUAAAAAAUGGUUAAACGAUAAUAACGAUUUUAAGAGAAUUAAAAUCUACAAAAUACAAAAAAAAUAAAAAUAAAUAAAAUAACCGCCCAGGCUAAUCAAUCUAUCUAAGAAAAUGAGAUGUAACCUAUCGAAAAAGGUCUGAAUAUCAUAUAUUACACUUCAAUCCAAAGUUUUUCAACCAUCAAAGAAGGAACAUAUUAUACAUAUAGAGAGAAUACAGAAUUGAAAAAGGGCAAAGAUACAAAUGGAAUGAUCAAUACGUACGGGUUGUGCAGCGUGUCGGUCGUUCUCUUCUUCGAUCUUUUCUUUUCGCGUAGUUUUAGUCGGUAUGAAUGCUUCUUAUCGAUCCACAAAAACCCUAAUAUCGAAAAAAAAUGAAGGAGAGAUAAGAACACUAUCUUUUCAUUUUCCCUUUUUUUUUCUUUUUGUCAGUAAAAUGAGGUGAAUAGACGAAUAUACCCUUCUCUUAUGUAAAGAUAUUUUGCAGCCAUAAACUCAGAGGUAAGAUUUUUCUUUUUUGGUAUUUAAAAUUUUCAAUAACGAGAUGCCUUCGAUGGAAAAAUUGAAAUAUAAUUUUAAGUUGGUAUGACUCCAUUCUAAUACGAGUGUUACAAAGUUUUAUUUAAUAUAUAAUUAGUGAAUGAUAUGUAAUAAAAUAUAUUUAAAUAAUCAAAAUCAUUCAAACUAAAUUAUAAACGCAAGAUUUAUUUGAGUUGUACAAUAAUAAUUUUAGUUAUUAAAUUUAUUUUUAUCAUUUAUUAAUUAUUUAAUUAUAAAAAUAAAAGAAUCUUAAGUAUGAUUGAGUGGAAGUAGUAUUGAAUGACAGUUCGUAAAGAACAAGUCCUACCAUAAUUUGAAUUUUGAAUUUUAUUUCUCCCUCUAAGUGUCGUGUGACUCAUAAUAAUAGUUUUACAAUGAAAUCAAUAAAAUAAUUUAAAAUGUUAUCUAAGAAUUCUUAAUAAAAUUAUACCCUUCAUUUCUUUGAGUAACUUAUGUUGUUACAUUUAAAUUUUGAGUUUUGGAGAAACUUGUGGGGAGGAAGACUAAGAAAAUUUAUAUUUUCUAUAUAAUAAUAAUAAUAUAAUAAAGAGACCAUUAGACUACAAAAUUGUCAUUCCAAAAAAAUUAUGCACACAUGUAAAAUAUGUGCCAAAGUUCCCUAGUUAUAACAAUGAUCUCAAUGGAGAUAGAUGGUAAAUUUCACUUAUUGAAAGUUAUAUAGCCAAGUACCACAGCUAUUUUGCAUUGAGAAUUUUUUCUUAUUUAUUUAAUUAAUUUAUUAUUAUAUUUGGAAAAGUGAGUAAUCUUGGAGUACUUCAUCAUAACAUUUAGAGUGGUUAUUUUGUUUAUUUGAAAAUUCAGAUGCACGGUUUUAAAAAUAACUUAUUUCAAAUACGAUUUAUUUAAUUCACAAAUGUAAUAAGAAAAUUGUUAAAUACAUAACCGUCGCUAUACAUCUACAGCGACAUUUUUAUUGUGUAAAUAACAAAAAAUAUUAUGAACUGUGUAAUAAUCAAAAGUAACAUAAUUCAUUUGAAAAUCCAAACGCACAAACAAAGACUAGCAACUAAACAAACUCUUUAUAAUGGUAAUGUGCAUUGAGUAAGAUAUUUUGUAGUAUAAAUCUAUCAUUUUAGGCACUCAGUUAUUAUACUUAAAAUUUUUUUAACAGACUUGCAUCAACGUAUUGAACAAUGAAUGAUAUUGAUUUCAAUACGUUGAUGUGAACCCAAGCAAAUGCACUCUCUGAAUCCUCCGGACACCUCUCUGGUAUUUUAAAAAUCCAUUGGCAUUCAACGUAUUUCAAUCUUUUAGAUUUAGUUUUCCUUUCUUUACUUGUCCCCCAGAUUAUCAUUUCAGUUCAAGAAGGAAAGGAAGCAGCUGAACAUUAUUUUUUCAAAAGUCCAAUGCCCACAUCAACAUGUCGGGUCUUAAUGUAAAUAACAUGCCUUGCUUUGAAAAAUUAUUUAGUUACUAUAAAAUAUUUAACUUUCUUAUCAUUUUCCAUCCCUCCAAAUACUCCCAUUUUGGAGAAAAAAUUUUGAACCAAAAAUCAAUUUUACUUCCAAAUCUCUUCCCUUCCUAAAAAAGAUUUGAAAGAAUUUUAAUUAUUUUCCCUUCCCUUCCCUUCCCCUCCCCUAAAAAUAAAUAAAUUACAAGCACAGUAUAAGAGUGCAGCAAUAACCAUCAUCAUUUAAUGGAUGAAAAUAUGUUGAACAAAAGUUACCGCAAUCAUCAAUUACUGAUUCUACUUUCACAAUGGUAUGGUGUAAUAAUUGAGGGAAAAUUGGCCGUAAAGAAUAUGACAAAACAACCAAGUAUCUACCUGGACUUCCAACUGAUACUUCAAGAAUCUAUACUACGUUCCCCACCGACAAAAUUCAAUGCCCUACAAAUCACACCGGACUACCAACUGGUAUUUCAAGAAUCUAUACUAUGUUCCCCACCGACAAAAUUCAAUGCGCUACAAAUCACACCGCUGGCAAAUAGACACCAGGUUCCAUAAUCAUCUCCUUCAGAAAACCUGGAAGAGUUGCAUACAUAACUGAGUUUCUAGACAGAACAAAACAGUAAGGAAACUCAGCAAUUUUAAACCAGCUAUAUUGUGUGUAACUACUACUUUAUAUUCUAGUAAAUCACCGCAAGACAAAUAUAAUCCUGCAAGUUAGUUAUAUCAUCAGAUAUAACGGAUGGCUGAAAUUUCCAAAGCAGGUGGUAGGCCACAUUGCUUGUUCCACAGAAAUAGUAAACCAACACGUACCCCCUCCGUUCCAAAAUUAGAGAUACAAUUUGACUUUUGAGGUCAAACAACAAAAUAUUAAAAUUCAAAAAUAGUAUGAUUCAUAAAAGUUUAGAAUGAAAUUAAUUUUGUGAUUAAUAGUUUUUGUUAUAUACUAUACAAUUAUAAUAAUUGUAUCAACUAAAAUCAAGUAAAUUCACAUUAAUUUGAAGUUUAAUAUGCCAUCGUUUGACCACAAAAGUCAAAUUGUAUCUCUAAUUUUGGAACGGACACAAUACAUCAAUUGAAAAACAAUAAUGAUUUGGUGACCCAAGAAUGAAUACUAAAAGUAGAUUCUAUGGUGCGUAUGAAUGCUAGUUUAAAUGUAAACACAUUUACGAAAGCACCAAAUUCUAGCUUUCCUCCAAAAGUGAUUUUACACUAAAAACCUCCAAUGCUAAAAACACCGUCUUUAUGUUACUAAGAACACAUUUGAGUAAUCUUAAAUUUUCUAAGACAAGGUAGGCAAAGUUCUAUAUUUAUCCUUUAAUUCAUUGCUUACAAAGAGAAUUUAUCAUCCCAAAGGCUGAGGGGGUCGUACUCGAUAUUCCACCUUAGCCAACACAAAAAUCCAUCCUUCGGUAGAGAUGGUCUCAUAUAUCCAAUGCCUCGAUGUUCAGAAAAUUACAAUUAAAAAGACAUUUAUCAUCCCGAUGAGUAAGGGGUAAAUAUCCCACGCUAGCCACCAAGUAAAUCCAUCCUUCGGUACAGAUUCCAAUGACUUAAAGAUGUAAACUAUAAAGAUCCCUUAGAAGUGCAUAAAGAACAAAAUACAUGAAAAAUAUAUUUCUAGAUUGGUGAAAAGUACAAGGAGCAAAAAAGAAUAUCAGAUUAUUUAUAAGAAUAAGAAUUCUCACCUUGAGAAGGAAUGGAAUACAGCAGGAACCAACUGUCUUAGUGAUGUGGUGUAAGCACUGUGAAUUCAUUGUAAAGAGGGAGAAAACAACAGGUCAGAAACCACCACAAACAACCUAAAAAUGACCACUCAAUAAAAUAAAUAACAAUGUAUGGAUAUAAUAAGUAAAUUUAAGAAUAAAAAGAAAGAAAGUUUUGUUUUUUUUUAAUUUUUUUUUAGGGGGAGUGGGGAUGGGGUGUGGGUCGAAAGGAGGGCGGAUAAGCAAAGAAAAAGUAUAUAUUUGUUUCAAAAUUUUCUAGUGAGUCAAAUCUAAAUUAUAUAGAAACUAAAACGUAGGCAACUGCCAUUAGAUUUUAUCAUUUGUUAAAACUUAGUAGUAUAUUAAAUAGCUAAUAUCUGUAACAGUUGUGACGUUUCCAUAGGUGAGCCACACUAAAGAGCAAAUACUCCAUACAAAAAUGUCUACUAGCGAUCAGGAAAAUUGGAUUGUGAAAAUUUUGAUGGCAACUAAGAGAAAUUCAAUUAAUCACCAGCAACAAAAUUAGGAUUUUCACACUGGCCCAACCAAUUGCUUUUAGGCUGACGGAUUUCCUGCAUUAUUCGUACCCCACUCUUCGUCAGGUUCGUUACCAUUGACGAGUACAGCACCAUCUGUAGAGUCAGCAUCCACCACAACAGGCUCAUCUUGACUCUCCUCUUUCUCAUCAUCUUGUCCCUCUUCUUGCAUCUCAUCUCCAUUCUGCU